rnacentral:rRNA from 1 species
GAUGAACGCUGGCGGCGUGCCUAAUACAUGCAAGUCGAGCGAACAGACGAGAGUGCUUGCACUCUCUGACGUUAGCGGCGGACGGGUGAGUAACACGUGGGUAACCUACCUAUAAGACUGGGAUAACUUCGGGAAACCGGAGCUAAUACCUGAUAAUAUUUAGCUUCGCAUGAAGCAAUAGUGAAAGACGGUUCUGCUGUCACUUAUAGAUGGACCCGCGGUGUAUUAGCUAGUUGGUGAGGUAACGGCUCACCAAGGCAACGAUACAUAGCCGACCUGAGAGGGUGAUCGGCCACACUGGGACUGAGACACGGCCCAGACUCCUACGGGAGGCAGCAGUAGGGAAUCUUCCGCAAUGGACGAAAGUCUGACGGAGCAAUGCCGCGUGAGUGAAGAAGGUUUUCGGAUCGUAAAACUCUGUUGUAAGGGAAGAACAAGUACGUUAGUAACUGAACGUACCUUGACGGUACCUUACCAGAAAGCCACGGCUAACUACGUG